CCCUUAGAUGUCCUGGGCCGCACGCGCGCUACACUGAGUGUCUGAGAUACGAGUCUGCCUGGUCCGGCAAGGUCUAGGUAAUCGCUAAAAGACACAUCAUGCUUGGGAUAGAUUAUUGCAAUUAUUAAUCUUGAACGAGGAAUUCCUAGUAAACGCAAAUCAUCAAUUUGCAUUGAUUACGUCCCUGCCCUUUGUACACACCGCCCGUCGCACCUACCGAUUGAAUGGUCCGGUGAGGACUCGGGAUUGUGACCAGUUUCCUUCAUUGGGAGUUGGUUGUGAGAACUUGUCCAAACCUUAUCAUUUAGAGGAAGGUGAAGUCGUAACA
rnacentral:rRNA from 1 species